rnacentral:misc_RNA from 1 species
AACGCACGAGACCUGCGGACCUGCGGAGGGAUCAUUAUUGAAUAAAAACUUUGGUUGGGCUGUUGCUGGUUUUCCUGACAAAGGGGAAAUGUUGUGCACGCUCAAUUACAAAUUUUAUUUCCACCUGUGCACUUUAUGUAGACUUUCAUCAGAACUAUACAUUCAUUAUCUUUUUGAGUUAUUAAACUUGAGGAGUUGGAAAUAUUACUAGUAAUUUUUCCUGUGAAUGUUGUUCAUUGG